rnacentral:rRNA from 1 species
AACGAACGCUGGCGGCAUGCCUAACACAUGCAAGUCGAACGAGACCUUCGGGUCUAGUGGCGCACGGGUGCGUAACGCGUGGGAACCUGCCUUUAGGUUCGGAAUAACUCAGAGAAAUUUGAGCUAAUACCGGAUGAUGUCUUCGGACCAAAGAUUUAUCGCCUUUAGAUGGGCCCGCGUUGGAUUAGCUAGUUGGUGGGGUAAAGGCCUACCAAGGCGACGAUCCAUAGCUGGUCUGAGAGGAUGAUCAGCCACACUGGGACUGAGACACGGCCCAGACUCCUACGGGAGGCAGCAGUGGGGAAUAUUGGACAAUGGGCGAAAGCCUGAUCCAGCAAUGCCGCGUGAGUGAUGAAGGCCUUAGGGUUGUAAAGCUCGUUUACCCGAGAUGAUAAUGACAGUAUCGGGAGAAUAAGCUCCGGCUAACUCCGUG